CAGUCGCCGCGGGAAUACGAAGGGGGCUAGCGUUGCUCGGAAUUACUGGGCGUAAAGCGCACGUAGGCGGAUAUUUAAGUCAGGGGUGAAAUCCCAGAGCUCAACUCUGGAACUGCCUUUGAUACUGGGUAUCUUGAGUAUGGAAGAGGUGAGUGGAAUUCCGAGUGUAGAGGUGAAAUUCGUAGAUAUUCGGAGGAACACCAGUGGCGAAGGCGGCUCACUGGUCCAUUACUGACGCUGAGGUGCGAAAGCGUGGGGAGCAAACAGGAUUAGAUACCCCAGUAGUCCCUGUCUCUUAUAA
rnacentral:rRNA from 1 species